AGUGAACGCUGGCGGUAGGCCUAACACAUGCAAGUCGAACGGCAGCACAGUAAGAGCUUGCUCUUACGGGUGGCGAGUGGCGGACGGGUGAGGAAUACAUCGGAAUCUACUUUUUCGCGGGGGAUAACGCAGGGAAACUUACGCUAAUACCGCAUACGACCUACGGGUGAAAGCAGGGGAUCUUCGGACCUUGCGCGAUUGAAUGAGCCGAUGUCGGAUUAGCUAGUUGGCGGGGUAAAGGCCCACCAAGGCGACGAUCCGUAGCUGGUCUGAGAGGAUGAUCAGCCACACUGGAACUGAGACACGGUCCAGACUCCUACGGGAGGCAGCAGUGGGGAAUAUUGGACAAUGGGCGCAAGCCUGAUCCAGCCAUACCGCGUGGGUGAAGAAGGCCUUCGGGUUGUAAAGCCCUUUUGUUGGGAAAGAAAAGCAGCAGGUUAAUACCCCGCUGUUCUGACGGUACCCAAAGAAUAAGCACCGGCUAACUUCGUG
rnacentral:rRNA from 1 species